rnacentral:lncRNA from 10 species
GGGCAAGGAGAUCACUAAAAUAAAGUUACUUUGAGAAAUGAGGAAGCUAAGCUUGUGAAUAGGCUCCACAUGAGGACUGAGGUGUUUGCAAUUGGAGUGGGAAGAAAGAGAGGGAGCCCAGAACCCGAGAGUGUGGCUGCAAGUCUCCCAGGAACAGUGCUUAAGCAUGGGAAUGUGAUCAAACAGAGCUGUGACCUUGGCCCUCAACACAGGGAUCCACUGUGGUCCAGACCAGCAAGGGCUAUCCAAACCACACAAGGCCAGUCUUCAACAGCCCCACCAUGAAGCAGCAGAUAAAUAGGAAACAUAGUUCAAUGCAUUCUGCUUGCUGUGUGAAAAAACAGGAUGCACGCCACUGGACUAAGCUUCAAAAGGUACAGAGAGAGGACUACCCUCCCAACUCAUUGCACCCACCCCGCCCAGGAUCUGUUCUUACAAAUGAAAGAAUAACCAGGAGGGAAAUCAAGACACUGAAUUUACAAAUGGACAAUGGCCAGACCAUAUAUGACGACAGAACUCUGACCCACAAACUCUACAGGAACUACCCAGAACAAUAACUUGGGGAGCUAUUAGAAGAUACUCCAUGAGAAAGGUGUUUUGUGGUUGAAAGAAGUUGAGAAACAAAGCAACAUAUUCUAAUGCUGGGAGCCUGGAAAAUAAAAGGAAGCAAGAGAGAGAAAAAUGCACUCAAAAUUGUCUGCCUUUGGGGACUCAACUGGAGAAAGAAGAUCUGGUAUGCAUCAAGGAUAAAAUAUUAACAAUCAACGGAUGACUGGCCCUGGUAUCUAUGGUGAUGACAGCAUCUACAGAGCAAUGGACAACCAACCAAUUAAAAACAUCACACGAGCUGAAUUCUCACAUGAGAGGCAGUGAGAUGCAGAGCAUACUGUGUGGGGCAGUCAUUAUUUUUUCACCUGUUGGGAAUCAUCACUUUCUCAUAACACACCCCAUCACCCCAGCUCCUGGGAAGGACCCAGGUGCAGCCAUCACAGCAUCUAACACCCAGGUUAGAGUGACUGCUUCAGUCACAGUAAAGUGACUACUCUCAAGAGGUAACCUGAGAAAUUAGGUUUACGAUUUAGUUCAGGAAUAUUCAUUGAACCACUGAGAAAGAGUAGCUACUGGUAAAAUUUUUGUUCUAUUUGCCACAAAUAGAAUAAAAGCUGAAUCUGCUUACAGUAAUCUUGCCUGAGAACAAAGGUAAAUGAUGUGUAAGAAAUCUCUGCAAAUCAUUUAGUUCAUGAUUUUGCAGGAUGCCAAUAUGAGCAUAGCACACGUGAAUGGUUUUCCUGAUCUUGUCUGGACUCACUUCAUACAUCUGUGGGCAGCCCCCUAGAUUAGCUGGGCCUGGCUGGUCUAGGAUGGCUUGUCUGACUUCCAUGGAAUCUCUUCUUAUCCAGCAGACAAGUCCAGGCUUAUUCACACAGCAGAAGCAUGGUUCCAAAAAAGUGAGUGGAAGCGUGCAAGGCCUCUUGAGGCCCAGGCUCAGAACUGUCAUGGUGUCAGUUUCUCCACAUUCUGUUAGUUGAAACAGGUCACAAAGCCAGCCCUGAUUUAAAGGGGUAGGGAAAUAGACCCCAUCUCCAUAUGGGAGGAGCUGCAAAGUCACAUUGCAUGGAGGUCUAGAUAUAGGAAAGGAAAUAAUUUUGGUCAUUUUUUAAUAAAUAAUCUACCAUAGUCCAUUUUCUGGCUACAAUUAUUCAUGUCCCUCCUACAUGCAAAAUACACUUACUUCUUCCUGAGACUUCCGUUUAUCUGGAUCAGAGUCCAGGACUUUUGGACCUGCAUUCUGCCAUACGAGGUUUCCCACGAUUAGAGACCUAUGAACUAAAAAAACAAGUUAUGUGCCCUCAAUGUACCCAACAAACAAGUGUGAGACUGGGACAGGAUAGCCACAAGAGACUUCCCCAUUCAAAAUAUGCUGUCAAUGGAAAUUCAUGCUAUGAAAAAACCUUGCACAUUUUACAGAGCACAGGAAUUCAUCACAGAGCAAAAGAUGCUGCAGAAGUGCAGGCUGAACAGAAAAGUUGCAGCAGGAGGCUGUGGAUGGCACUAAGGCAUUUUUAAAGUAGCUCUCAUGUUUCUAGUUUCUGCAGAUGCUGACAUAACAAAUUCUGAUUCUAAGUUACUUGGCCAGAUUCCUUUCUACAUGUCAACAAGGAUUUUCUGGUAAAUAAAACAUUCAUGCAUUUUUUUAUUAGCACUUGAUGCUUUUUUUUGAAGUUGUUGCCAUUUUAAAGUGAUAAGUAUAUACCCCAAAUCCUGAUAUUCUGUAUAAUAUUUGAUGAGUGAAAGGUUUAUUUUGUGUUUUAUCAUUAAACCUUUAGAGUUUUCCAUAAUAUGUUUUUCUUUUCUGUUUUCCG